rnacentral:rRNA from 1 species
AGAGUUUGAUCAUGGCUCAGAUUGAACGCUGGCGGCAGGCCUAACACAUGCAAGUCGGGCGGUAACAGAAAUCAGCUUGCUGAUUUGCUGACGAGCGGCGGACGGGUGAGUAAUGUCUGGGAAACUGCCUGAUGGAGGGGGAUAACUACUGGAAACGGUAGCUAAUACCGCAUAACGUCGCAAGACCAAAGAGGGGGACCUUCGGGCCUCUUGCCAUCAGAUGUGCCCAGAUGGGAUUAGCUAGUAGGUGGGGUAACGGCUCACCUAGGCGACGAUCCCUAGCUGGUCUGAGAGGAUGACCAGCCACACUGGAACUGAGACACGGUCCAGACUCCUACGGGAGGCAGCAGUGGGGAAUAUUGCACAAUGGGCGCAAGCCUGAUGCAGCCAUGCCGCGUGUAUGAAGAAGGCCUUCGGGUUGUAAAGUACUUUCAGCGGGGAGGAAGGCGAUAAGGUUAAUAACCUUGUCGAUUGACGUUACCCGCAGAAGAAGCACCGGCUAACUCCGUGCCAGCAGCCGCGGUAAUACGGAGGGUGCAAGCGUUAAUCGGAAUUACUGGGCGUAAAGCGCACGCAGGCGGUCUGUCAAGUCGGAUGUGAAAUCCCCGGGCUCAACCUGGGAACUGCAUUCGAAACUGGCAGGCUAGAGUCUUGUAGAGGGGGGUAGAAUUCCAGGUGUAGCGGUGAAAUGCGUAGAGAUCUGGAGGAAUACCGGUGGCGAAGGCGGCCCCCUGGACAAAGACUGACGCUCAGGUGCGAAAGCGUGGGGAGCAAACAGGAUUAGAUACCCUGGUAGUCCACGCCGUAAACGAUGUCAACUUGGAGUCUGUGCCAUUGAGCGUGGGCUCCGAAGCUAACGCGAUAAGUUGACCGCCUGGGGAGUACGGCCGCAAGGUUAAAACUCAAAUGAAUUGACGGGGGCCCGCACAAGCGGUGGAGCAUGUGGUUUAAUUCGAUGCAACGCGAAGAACCUUACCU